rnacentral:rRNA from 1 species
ACGCUGGCGGCGUGCCUAAUACAUGCAAGUCGAACGCACAGCGAAAGGUGCUUGCACCUUUCAAGUGAGUGGCGAACGGGUGAGUAACACGUGGACAACCUGCCUCAAGGCUGGGGAUAACAUUUGGAAACAGAUGCUAAUACCGAAUAAAACUUAGUGUCGCAUGACACAAAGUUAAAAGGCGCUUCGGCGUCACCUAGAGAUGGAUCCGCGGUGCAUUAGUUAGUUGGUGGGGUAAAGGCCUACCAAGACAAUGAUGCAUAGCCGAGUUGAGAGACUGAUCGGCCACAUUGGGACUGAGACACGGCCCAAACUCCUACGGGAGGCUGCAGUAGGGAAUCUUCCACAAUGGGCGAAAGCCUGAUGGAGCAACGCCGCGUGUGUGAUGAAGGCUUUCGGGUCGUAAAGCACUGUUGUAUGGGAAGAACAGCCAGAAUAGGAAAUGAUUUUAGUUUGACGGUACCAUACCAGAAAGGGACGGCUAAAUACGUGCCAGCAGCCGCGGUAAUACGUAUGUCCCGAGCGUUAUCCGGAUUUAUUGGGCGUAAAGCGAGCGCAGACGGUUUAUUAAGUCUGAUGUGAAAGCCCGGAGCUCAACUCCGGAAUGGCAUUGGAAACUGGUUAACUUGAGUGCAGUAGAGGUAAGUGGAACUCCAUGUGUAGCGGUGGAAUGCGUAGAUAUAUGGAAGAACACCAGUGGCGAAGGCGGCUUACUGGACUGCAACUGACGUUGAGGCUCGAAAGUGUGGGUAGCAAAC